UUAAAAUCUGUAUUUCUUAAGAAUAUCACAACUUUCAUAAAUACAACCUAUUAUCAUGUUUAUAAUGUUCUAUAAAUUAUUGUUCACAAAUUUGUAGUAGACAAGUCUUUGAAAGUUAUUGUUUAUACAAACUUGUAGAAAAUAAGUCCUUGAAAAUGUAGCAAAGGUCAACAAAUCUCAUACCAAACAAAGUAUUAAAAUCUGAGUAAAAUGUUACAAAACAAAACAAAAAUAUAAUAGUUUGAUCUUAGCAAUAUAGAUAUACAAAACAUUACAUCUUAGGCAAAGGAAAACAUUACAUCCUAAUGUCAACAGUGGGAAUCUAUAUUGUAUUGGUGGGGGAAUCUAUAUUGUAUAGGUGGGGGAAUCUUUAUUGUAUAGGUGGGGGAAUCUAUAUUGUAUAGGUGGGGGAAUCUAUAUUGUAUAGGUGGGGGAAUCUAUAUUGUAUAGGUGGGGGAAUCUAUAUUGUAUAGGUGGGGGAAUCUUUAUUGUAUAGGUGGGGGAAUCUAUAUUGUAUAGGUGGGGGAAUCUAUAUUGUAUAGGUGGGGGAAUCUAUAUUGUAUUGGUGGGGAAAUCUAUAUUGUAUUGGUGGGGAAAUCUAUAUUGUAUUGGUGGGGGAAUCUAUAUUGUAUAGGUGGGGGAAUCUAUAUUGUAUUGGUGGGGGAAUCUAUAUUGUAUUGGUGGGGGAAUCUAUAUUGUAUAGGUGUGGGAAUCUAUAUUGUAUUGGUGGGGGAAUCUAUAUUGUAUUGGUGGG